GCCCCGGUAAACGGCGGCCGUAACUAUAACGGUCCUAAGGUAGCGAAAUUCCUUGUCGGGUAAGUUCCGACCUGCACGAAUGGCGUAAUGAUGGCCAGGCUGUCUCCACCCGAGACUCAGUGAAAUUGAACUCGCUGUGAAGAUGCAGUGUACCCGCGGCAAGACGGAAAGACCCCGUGAACCUUUACUAUAGCUUGACACUGAACAUUGAGCCUUGAUGUGUAGGAUAGGUGGGAGGCUUUGAAGUGUGGACGCCAGUCUGCAUGGAGCCGACCUUGAAAUACCACCCUUUAAUGUUUGAUGUUCUAACGUUGGCCCGUAAUCCGGGUUGCGGACAGUGUCUGGUGGGUAGUUUGACUGGGGCGGUCUCCUCCUAAAGAGUAACGGAGGAGCACGAAGGUUGGCUAAUCCUGGUCGGACAUCAGGAGGUUAGUGCAAUGGCAUAAGCCAGCUUGACUGCGAGCGUGACGGCGCGAGCAGGUGCGAAAGCAGGUCAUAGUGAUCCGGUGGUUCUGAAUGGAAGGGCCAUCGCUCAACGGAUAAAAGGUACUCCGGGGAUAACAGGCUGAUACCGCCCAAGAGUUCAUAUCGACGGCGGUGUUUGGCACCUCGAUGUCGGCUCAUCACAUCCUGGGGCUGAAGUAGGUCCCAAGGGUAUGGCUGUUCGCCAUUUAAAGUGGUACGCGAGCUGGGUUUAGAACGUCGUGAGACAGUUCGGUCCCUAUCUGCCGUGGGCGCUGGAGAACUGAGGGGGGCUGCUCCUAGUACGAGAGGACCGGA
rnacentral:rRNA from 1 species